CCGCAGACGCAUUGGGCCUCUUGACAAUGCACAUUGUCGAGGCCUGCCUCAAUGGGAGGGGAGGGCAACCAGCCCCUAAAGCCGCUGCACCUCGCGAGGACGUCUCCUAAGGCUCCAAGGGCCUACGGGGGGCCGCGAAGCGCCCGCGUUCUCACGCCCUGCAAUUCACCAGACCUUGAACAACGAUCCCUUAUGCCCCUGGCAUCCC
rnacentral:lncRNA from 1 species